rnacentral:rRNA from 1 species
AUUGAACGCUGGCGGCCGGCCUAACACAUGCAAGUCGAGCGGAUGAAGGGAGCUUGCUCCUGGAUUCAGCGGCGGACGGGUGAGUAAUGCCUAGGAAUCUGCCUGGUAGUGGGGGAUAACGUCCGGAAACGGGCGCUAAUACCGCAUCCGUCCUGAGGGAGAAAGUGGGGGAUCUUCGGACCUCACGCUCUCAGAUGAGCCUAGGUCGGAUUAGCUAGUUGGUGGGGUAAAGGCCUACCAAGGCGACGAUCCGUAACUGGUCUGAGAGGAUGAUCAGUCACACUGGAACUGAGACACGGUCCAGACUCCUACGGGAGGCAGCAGUGGGGAAUAUUGGACAAUGGGCGAAAGCCUGAUCCAGCCAUGCCGCGUGUGUGAAGAAGGUCUUCGGAUUGUAAAGCACUUUAAGUUGGGAGGAAGGGCAGUAAGUUAAUACCUUGCUGUUUUGACGUUACCAACAGAAUAAGCACCGGCUAACUUCGUG